rnacentral:piRNA from 1 species
UGUCAUUUUCAGAGAGUCCCCUUAGGAUCGC